rnacentral:rRNA from 1 species
GCAAGUCGAACGGCAGCGCGGGCUUCGGCCUGGCGGCGAGUGGCGAACGGGUGAGUAAUACAUCGGAACGUGCCCUGUUGUGGGGGAUAACUAGUCGAAAGAUUAGCUAAUACCGCAUACGACCUGAGGGUGAAAGCGGGGGACCGCAAGGCCUCGCGCAAUAGGAGCGGCCGAUGUCUGAUUAGCUAGUUGGUGGGGUAAAGGCCUACCAAGGCGACGAUCAGUAGCUGGUCUGAGAGGACGAUCAGCCACACUGGGACUGAGACACGGCCCAGACUCCUACGGGAGGCAGCAGUGGGGAAUUUUGGACAAUGGGGGCAACCCUGAUCCAGCAAUGCCGCGUGUGUGAAGAAGGCCUUCGGGUUGUAAAGCACUUUUGUCCGGAAAGAAAUCGCGCUGGCUAAUACCUGGCGUGGAUGACGGUACCGGAAGAAUAAGCACCGGCUAACUACGUGCCAGCAGCCGCGGUAAUACGUAGGGUGCGAGCGUUAAUCGGAAUUACUGGGCGUAAAGCGUGCGCAGGCGGUUUUGUAAGACAGGCGUGAAAUCCCCGAGCUCAACUUGGGAAUGGCGCUUGUGACUGCAAGGCUAGAGUAUGUCAGAGGGGGGUAGAAUUCCACGUGUAGCAGUGAAAUGC